rnacentral:rRNA from 1 species
AUGAACGCUGGCGGCGUGCCUAAUACAUGCCAGUCGAGCGAGCAGACGAGGAGCUUGCUCCUCUGACGUUAGCGGCGGACGGGUGAGUAACACGUGGAUAACCUACCUAUAAGACUGGGAUAACUUCGGGAAACCGGAGCUAAUACCGGAUAAUAUAUUGAACCGCAUGGUUCAAUAGUGAAAGACGGUUUUGCUGUCACUUAUAGAUGGAUCCGCGCCGCAUUAGCUAGUUGGUAAGGUAACGGCUUACCAAGGCAACGAUGCGUAGCCGACCUGAGAGGGUGAUCGGCCACACUGGAACUGAGACACGGUCCAGACUCCUACGGGAGGCAGCAGUAGGGAAUCUUCCGCAAUGGGCGAAAGCUUGACGGAGCAACGCCGCGUGAGUGAUGAAGGUCUUCGGAUCGUAAAACUCUGUUAUUAGGGAAGAACAAAUGUGUAAGUAACUAUGCACGUCUUGACGGUACCUAAUCAGAAAGCCACGGCUAACUACGUG